rnacentral:pre_miRNA from 1 species
AAAAAGACAAACCCUGAAUUUUCGUGUCCAACUUUGACCGUCCGUCUUAUAUGAAAUUUUUUUAUAAUUCGUAUUUUCAUUGUUGUUAGAUGAUAAAACAUGAUUAAUAUUUUAUGCGUGAUUUGUCUUUUUAAUUUUUUUAUAUUUUUUUCAAAUAAGACGGACGGUCAAACAUUGGACACGGAAACUAGGGUUUGUCUUUUU